rnacentral:rRNA from 1 species
UACGUAGGGGGCGAGCGUUACCCGGAUUUACUGGGCGUAAAGCGCGUAUAGGCGGCUGGCCAAGCGUGGUGUGAAAUCUUCGGGCUUAACCCGAAAACUGCAUUGCGAACUGGUCUGGCUAGAGUGUGUGAGAGGGUAGUGGAAUUCACGGUGUAGCAGUGAAAUGCGUAGAUAUCGUGAGGAACACCAGAGGCGAAGGCGGCUUCCUGGACAAUUGCUGACGCUCAGGCACGAAAGCGUGGGGAGCAAAAGGG